AUGCUUCGAUUGGCGGGCGUUGCCGAGGACUUGGGCGCCGUCGUCAACAACAAGGACUCCAUCCGACUCCUGGAUCGCGCGCGCACACUAGUUGCUGACACGAGGCAGCACCUCGUGCCAGCAGUUGGUGUGGAUCUCUUCGACCACGACCGCCAAGGCCGCCUCCUCGCGUACGCCUACGCCCUCACCCACCUCGGCAACGGUGUUGGGAGCGGCAUCGGCCAGCCCGUGGAGGCGGGCGCCGUGGUGAACUUCAUGAACAUCUUCAUCGGGCGCGUCAACCAGGCCAUCGAGCUUUUCUGGAACGAAAAACUCACUGGCCCUCAAUUCUUCGAUGCGGUGCUGGAUGCCAGCGCAAUUGUCGGCAUCAGGGCCGGCGUGGACUACAUUCGUCUCUGA
rnacentral:rRNA from 1 species